UAGGGAAUCUUCGGCAAUGGGGGCAACCCUGACCGAGCAACGCCGCGUGAGUGAAGAAGGUUUUCGGAUCGUAAAGCUCUGUUGUAAGUCAAGAACGGGUGUGAGAGUGGAAAGUUCACACUGUGACGGUAGCUUACCAGAAAGGGACGGCUAACUACGUGCCAGCAGCCGCGGUAAUACGUAGGUCCCGAGCGUUGUCCGGAUUUAUUGGGCGUAAAGCGAGCGCAGGCGGUUUGAUAAGUCUGAAGUUAAAGGCUGUGGCUCAACCAUAGUUCGCUUUGGAAACUGUCAAACUUGAGUGCAGAAGGGGAGAGUGGAAUUCCAUGUGUAGCGGUGAAAUGCGUAGAUAUAUGGAGGAACACCGGUGGCGAAAGCGGCUCUCUGGUCUGUAACUGACGCUGAGGCUCGAAAGCGUGGGGAGCGAACAGGAUUAGAUACCCUGGUAGUCCACGCCGUAAACGAUGAGUGCUAGGUGUUGGAUCCUUUCCGGGAUUCAGUGCCGAAGCUAACGCAUUAAGCACUCCGCCUGG
rnacentral:rRNA from 1 species